UACGUAGGGUGCAAGCGUUAAUCGGAAUUACUGGGCGUAAAGCGUGCGCAGGCGGUGAUGUAAGACAGAUGUGAAAUCCCCGGGCUCAACCUGGGAACUGCAUUUGUGACUGCAUCGCUGGAGUGCGGCAGAGGGGGAUGGAAUUCCGCGUGUAGCAGUGAAAUGCGUAGAUAUGCGGAGGAACACCGAUGGCGAAGGCAGUCCCCUGGGCCUGUACUGACGCUCAUGCACGAAAGCGUGGGGAGCAAACAG
rnacentral:rRNA from 1 species